GGCAGGGCGGGGACCACGGGCGUGGGAGGCCGAGGGACGGGUUUGUCCAUGGGGGACGGCGCCAGCGCCGGGGUGACGGUGACAGUGCCGGUGACAGCGCUGGUGACAGCGCCGGUGCCAGUGGCGGUGGGUGGCUGAGGCGGCAUCCCGCAGGGUGGGUGACGAUGGCAUACGACGAGCGGCUGGCCCGCUUCCGCCAGGCCCACCUCAACCCCUUCAACAAGGGCCCCGAGCAGCAGGAGCACCCCGACGGGGAGGCCCCCGCCCCAGCCCCACAGCCGGAUCCGUCCCCAGGGGACCCCGAGGGCACGCUGGACCUGGGGCUGGCCGAGGACCAUUUCUCCCGCCCCGAGGGCCUGAUCCUGGCACCAGAUGUGCAGCAGCUGCGCCAGGCCAUUGAGGAGUGCAAGCAGGCGAUCCUGGCGCUGCCCGAGCACUCGGAGCGGCAGAAGGACGCGGUGGUGCGGCUCAUCCACCUCCGCCUCAAGCUGCAGGAGCUGAAGGACCCUGGCGAGGAUGAGCCCAACAUCCGGGUGGUCCUGGAGCAUCGCUUCUACAAGGAGAAGAGCAAGAGCGUGAAGCAAAUGUGCGACAAGUGCAGUACUAUCAUAUGGGGCCUCAUCCAGACCUGGUACACCUGCACAGGCUGCUACUAUCGGUGUCACAGCAAGUGCCUGCCACUGGUGAGCAAGCCCUGCGUGCGUGCCAAGGUCAGCCACCAGGCUGAGUACCAGCUCAGCAUCUGCCCCGAGAGCGGGCUGGACAGCCAGGACUACCGCUGUGCUGAGUGCCGCGCACCCAUCUCUCUCCCAGCUGCCACUGGAAUGACCUGGCUGUCGUGCCCGCCCGCGCCAUCCACAACUGGGACUUCGAGCCCCGCAAGGGUGACAGUGGCCCCGGGCAUGGGCCUGGCAGGUGUCGCGCUGCAGCAUGCGGUACCUGGCGCUGAUGGUGUCGCGGCCCGUGCUGAAGCUGCGAGAGAUCAACCCGCUGCUCUUCAACUACGUGGAGGAGCUAGUGGAGAUCCGGAAGCUGCGCCAGGACAUCCUGCUCAUGAAGCCCUACUUCAUCACCUGCAAGGAGGCGAUGGAGGCGCGGCUGCUGCUACAGGCACAGGGGUGACAAGCACGGUGGUGACGGGCUGUCUGCCUGCAGCUGCAGGACCGGCAGCACUUUGUGGAGAACGACGAGAUGUACUCGCUGCAGGACCUGAUCGACAUUGAAGCCGGACGCCUGAGCUGCUCCCUGACGGAGAUCCACACCCUCUUCGCCAAACACAUCAAGCUGGACUGCGAGCGCUGCCAGGCAAAAGGCUUUGUCUGCGAGCUCUGUAAGGAGGGCGACGUGCUCUUCCCCUUCGACAGCCACACCUCUGUCUGCACUGACUGCUCUGCCGUCUUCCACAGGGACUGCUACUACGACAACUCCACCACCUGCCCCAAGUGCGCCCGGCUCAGCCUGCGCAAGCAGUCCCUCUUCCAGGACUCCGGCACCGAGGCAGAGCCCUGAGGGGGGCCCGGCCCCACAGGCCCCCAACCUGCCACGGGGCCCUGGAACGGAUGGGCAGUUUCUGGCUCUGUGAGGAACUGGGACCCUCUGCCUGCAGGGACAGCAGCCUGGGGAGUACCCUGGGCAUGGACAUUAUGGGGGAGUCACUGCCAGACCCCAGCUACUCCCCAGGGCCGGGUGAGCCCCACAGGAGGUGUUGGGAGCUGGUUAACAACCUGCAGCAGCUCCCGCCACCCCUGUGCUGAGCCUGGCGCAGGCAGGGGCGCAGGCAGGUGCUCCGCCACCUGCAGCCAUGCGCUGAGUGAUCAUGCAGGUCGAGCUGGGGCAACAGGCGCUGCUGGAGAGAGCGAGCACAUCGGGACUUGGCAGAGGAGCCCCCUGUGAGGGCUCUUGCCAUCUCUCUGGGUGCUGAAGGCCUGGGCAGGGCAUGGUGGGGGACGGGAAGCAGGAGACGGGUGGCCCUGCCACCCACCCACACAUACUACUGGGAUAACGCUGCUGAUUUGGGGGGAAAGCUCCCGAUUCCACUCCCCACACGCAUUCCCGGGGCUGCGAGGGGGGCUGGAGCUGGGCAGGGCGCUGUGCGGAGCCGCUCCUCCCGCACCCCACGGGCCACCCGGGUUUCCUGUAGCAUUAACGAGGCCUCUUUGCGCAACCCA